AUUGAACGCUGGCGGCAGGCCUAACACAUGCAAGUCGAACGGUAACAGGAAGCAGCUUGCUGCUUCGCUGACGAGUGGCGGACGGGUGAGUAAUGUCUGGGAAACUGCCUGAUGGAGGGGGAUAACUACUGGAAACGGUAGCUAAUACCGCAUAACGUCGCAAGACCAAAGAGGGGGACCUUAGGGCCUCUUGCCAUCGGAUGAGCCCAGAUGGGAUUAGCUAGUAGGUGGGGGAACGGCUCACCUAGGCGACGAUCCCUAGCGGGUCUGAGAGGAUGACCAGCCACACUGGAACUGAGACACGGUCCAGACUCCUACGGGAGGCAGCAGUGGGGAAUAUUGCACAAUGGGCGCAAGCCUGAUGCAGCCAUGCCGCGUGUAUGAAGAAGGCCUUCGGGUUGUAAAGUACUUUCAGCGGGGAGGAAGGGAGUAAAGUUAAUCCCUUUGCUCAUUGACGUUACCCGCAGAAGAAGCACCGGCUAACUCCGUG
rnacentral:rRNA from 1 species